rnacentral:rRNA from 1 species
UACAGAGGGUGCGAGCGUUAAUCGGAAUUACUGGGCGUAAAGGGCGCGUAGGUUGUUUGUUAAGUGAGAUGUGAAAUCCCUGGGCUUAACCUAGGAAUUGCAUCUUAAACUGAUGAACUGGAGUACUGUAGAGGGUAGUGGAAUUUCCGGUGUAGCGGUGAAAUGCGUAGAUAUCGGAAGGAACACCAGUGGCGAAGGCGGCUACCUGGACAGAUACUGACACUGAGGCGCGAAAGCGUGGGGAGCAAACAGG